rnacentral:rRNA from 1 species
UGGGGAAUUGUUCGCAAUGGGCGCAAGCCUGACGACGCAACGCCGCGUGGAGGAUGAAGAUCUUCGGGUCGUAAACUCCUUUCGAUCGAGACGAAUGGCCUCCGGGUGAACAAUCCGGAGGAGUGACGGUACCGAGAGAAGAAGCCCCGGCUAACUCCGUGCCAGCAGCCGCGGUAAUACGGGGGGGGCAAGCGUUGUUCGGAAUUACUGGGCGUAAAGGGCUCGUAGGUGGCCAACUAAGUCAGACGUGAAAUCCCUCGGCUUAACCGGGGAACUGCAUCUGAUACUGGAUGGCUUGAGUUUGGGAGAGGGACGCGGAAUUCCAGGUGUAGCGGUGAAAUGCGUAGAUAUCUGGAGGAACACCGGUGGCGAAGGCGGCGUCCUGGACCAACACUGACACUGAUGAGCGAAAGCCAGGGGAGCAAACGGGAUUAGAUACCCCUGUAGUCC